rnacentral:rRNA from 1 species
UACGUAGGUGGCAAGCGUUGUCCGGAAUUAUUGGGCGUAAAGCGCGCGCAGGCGGUCCUUUAAGUCUGAUGAUGAAAGCCCACGGCUCAACCGUGGAAGGUCAUUGGAAACUGGAGGACUUGAGUACAGAAGAGGAAAGCGGAAUUCCACGUGUAGCGGUGAAAUGCGUAGAGAUGUGGAGGAACACCAGUGGCGAAGGCGGCUUUCUGGUCUGUAACUGACGCUGAGGCGCGAAAGCGUGGGGAGCAAACAGG